AAAAAAAAAAUCUAUUAAAAUAUAAUAAAAUAUAAAGCAUCAAUAUAUACUACUUAGCAAGUUGACCAACUACAAAUCAAACUGUGUUUCAAUCGAACUAUUAAUAUUAAAAACACGAAAAUAAAAACACUUUUACCAUUAUAUUCAUCGCUUCACUUUGAAUCUAAAAUACGAAUGAAUAAGGUUUUUAUGAGUUGGGUUAAGUGGUUGGUGCUGUUUUUGCACUAAUCUUAAAACAACCAUAGUACUUAAAUAUACGAAAAACUGUGUACCGUUGAGUGAAAAAAAUAAAGGAUUCUUAAGAGCGAAAUCUUGUAACAACAGCUUAAUUUAAGACCAUAUACAUCAGAAAUGUCAGAAUUUGUUGUAUUCACAAAUAACACCGAAAUGAUUUAGAUGUUCAUAAAAUCUACCAAUGGGAUAAUAGUGCACUAAAUUAUAUGUCGAGAGUACGUUUACAUAUAUUGUAAUAAAACCAAAGUCGUUAUGUCCAAGAUUCCAUAAAUGUUAAUUAAGUUUGAAGAAAUAAAAAUAAUAUAUUUGUAUACAAAACAAAUA